rnacentral:SRP_RNA from 15 species
GGGCAAGUCCCUUACGGUCAGCUCCCUUGGAAUCCCCCAGGGUGGGAACGCAGCAAGGGUACAUGGUUGUAGCGACGCGAUAAGGACAGCUUGCCCACC